UAGAUUUAAGACAGUAACUUCAGCUCUUUGAAAACAAUUUUAAAGGGAAGCUGGUGAAAAUCCAGCACAGCCCCGCUACUGUAAGUGGCUACGAAAACUAAAUUUUCGCGCCAGUGACCGGGCAUACGAAGAUGCUUUCAAGGGACGAAGUCAAUAGACGUAAACCUUAGGUUUCUGGCGCGGAUAAACCAUUCGAGGUGAUGAAAAAAUCUUCUCGGAGAAGGUUGGCCAGUAGGUCUGAAGCCAUAAGUCAGGAUACCUGAAGUCCCCCGAUAUAUCGG
rnacentral:ncRNA from 2 species